ACUCCUACGGGAGGCAGCAGGUGGGGAAUAUUGCACAAUGGGGGGAAAACCCUGAUGCAGCCAUGCCGCGUGUGUGAAGAAGGCCUUCGGGUUGUAAAGCACUUUCUAGUAGGGAGGAAGGUAGUGUAGUUAACACCUGCAUUAUUUGACGUUACCUACAGAAGAAGCACCGGCUAACUCCGUGCCAGCAGCCGCGGUAAUACGGAGGGUGCGAGCGUUAAUCGGAAUUACUGGGCGUAAAGCGCAUGCAGGCGGCCUGUUAAGUCAGAUGUGAAAGCCCGGGGCUUAACCUCGGAAUUGCAUUUGAAACUGGCAGGCUAGAGUCUUGGUAGAGGGGGGUAGAAUUUCAGGUGUAGCGGUGAAAUGCGUAGAGAUCUGAAGGAAUACCAGUGGCGAAGGCGGCCCCCUGGACAAAGACUGACGCUCAGAUGCGAAAGCGUGGGGGAGCAAACAGGAUUAGAUACCCUGGUAGGCUAGCG
rnacentral:rRNA from 1 species